UACGAAGGGGGCUAGCGUUGCUCGGAAUCACUGGGCGUAAAGGGUGCGUAGGCGGGUCUUUAAGUCAGGGGUGAAAUCCUGGAGCUCAACUCCAGAACUGCCUUUGAUACUGAAGAUCUUGAGUUCGGGAGAGGUGAGUGGAACUGCGAGUGUAGAGGUGAAAUUCGUAGAUAUUCGGAAGAACACCAGUGGCGAAGGCAGCGAAUUGGCGCUAUAUUGACGCUCAGGCACGAAAGCAUGGGGAUCAAACAGG
rnacentral:rRNA from 1 species